UACGUAGGGUGCGAGCGUUGUCCGGAAUUAUUGGGCGUAAAGAGCUUGUAGGCGGUUUGUCGCGUCUGCUGUGAAAUUUCGGGGCUCAACCCCGAACUUGCAGUGGGUACGGGCAGACUAGAGUGUGGUAGGGGAGGACUGGAAUUCCUGGUGUAGCGGUGAAAUGCGCAGAUAUCAGGAGGAACACCGAUGGCGAAGGCAGGUCUCUGGGCCACUACUGACGCUGAGAAGCGAAAGCAUGGGGAGCGAACAGG
rnacentral:rRNA from 1 species